ACCUCAGGGAUAGCCUUUCCGAAAGGGAGAUUAAAUUACCUGAUGGUGUUCAAAAUUCCCGCAUGUUAUUUGAACUAAAGAUUUAUCGGUAUCGGAUGGGGAUGCGUGACAUUAGAUAGUAGGCGGGGUAACGGCCCACCUAGUCUACGAUGUCUAGGGGUUCUGAGAGGAAGGUCCCCCACACUGGAACUGAGACACGGUCCAGACUCCUACGGGAGGCAGCAGUGAGGAAUAUUGGUCAAUGGUCGGAAGACUGAACCAGCCAAGUAGCGUAAAGGAUGAAGGUUCUAUGGAUUGUAAACUUCUUUUAUACGGGAAUAAAACCUCCCACGUGUGGGAGCUUGUAUGUACCGUAUGAAUAAGCAUCGGCUAACUCCGUG
rnacentral:rRNA from 1 species